rnacentral:rRNA from 1 species
CCUACGGGUGGCAGCAGUCGAGAAUCAUUCACAAUGGGGGAAACCCUGAUGGUGCGACGCCGCGUGGGGGAAUGAAGGUCUUCGGAUUGUACACCCCUGUCAUGUGGGAGCCAAUUACAAAGAUAGUCCCACAAGAGGAAGAGACGACUAACUCUGUGCCAGCAGACGCGGUAAUACAGAGGUCUCAAGCGUUGUUCGGAAUCACUGGUCGUAAAGCGUGCGUAGGCUGUUUCGUAAGUCGUGUGUGAAAGGCGCGGGCUCAACCCGCGGACGGCACAUGAUACUGCGAGACUAGAGUAAUGGAGGGGGAACCGGAAUUCUCGGUGUAGCAGUGAAAUGCGUAGAUAUCGAGAGGAACACUCGUGGCGAAGGCGGGUUCCUGGACAUUAACUGACGCUGAGGCACGAAGGCCAGGGGAGCGAAAGGGAUUAGAUACCCUGGUAGUC